rfam:Equus caballus chromosome 7, whole genome shotgun sequence.
GCCUCCCGUGCCUACUGAGCUGAAACACAGUUGGUUUGUGCAGACUGGCUCAGUUCAGCAGGAACAGGAG